GCCGGUGUAGCUCAGUUGGUUAGAGCGCCACGCUCAUAACGUGGAGGUCACGGGUUCGAAGCAAAAAGGGACACAGGAG
rnacentral:tRNA from 1 species